rnacentral:misc_RNA from 1 species
UGAGGAUGUACGAGAGAGAAGCAUGAAUGUUUAUCGUGAUCAGAGCAAGGAUGUUUUCUCCUAUUAAAAAUGAGGAUAAUAUAACAUAUCCGAGAGCACCAACAGCCCGAGCAAGAGCACACAAGAAGAUCGAGGCACCCCAACUUGUUCUCAACCUCCAUAACGAACCCAUUGUGAAGCCAAGAAAACCAUGCAUUAGCAUAUAAUUUAAUGCUUUCACUGGACCAGACAAGACAAACAAGAGUACAA